GAACUCGACCCAUUCCCGAUUUUAACCAACUGCUUAACAAAUGAAUAGGCUAAUUAUCACCAUGUCAAUUUUGCGGAAUUACAAAUAUAUGUUAAUAAAUAUUAUCAGUCAUUAUUAUGUUCCUCUGAUAUAACAGAAAUGGUUCCCUUUUUUUAUUUAUUUAUCAUUUUUUUGAAGGGGGGGGGGGGUUGGUGGAACUAAUAUUUAAUGUUAGUGAGAUUUCUGACCCUUUUUGAGAUAAGUCUCUCUCCUUAUCACUUAAACUUGUUUUGGCAAAGAUUUAAUAUGGCUACUUAUAACUAUCCAGAGUUCAACUAAAUAUUUUCAUCACCGAAGAAAUGAAUUCAGUUUGCAGUAUUAACAGAAAGAGUUGUAAAACAAAAUUUGGUUAAAUUACAUAGGUAUCAAUACACAUUUUAUUUUAUUUUUUGGUAUGUUAAUUUCCUGUUUAAUACUCAUAUUCGUCAAUUUUCAUUUAUUUAAUGCGGAAACAAUAUAAAUCAGAUUUUAUAAUUAUUUGUACAUUUUGAUUUUGAUAACUUCAUGGAAUUUAAUGAUUAAGGUGAUAUUUACUGAUGAAAAUGAUGUGAUGAAUGAAACUUGUGCAAUAUAUGUAUAAAUGAUAAAUAUUG
rnacentral:sRNA from 1 species